GGCGAAUGGGUGAGUAACACGUAUGCAACUUACCUCUUAGUGGUGAAUAACUCGAUGAAAGUCGGACUAAUACACCAUACUCUCCUUAGAUCACAUGAGAAGAGGAGGAAAGAUUAAUCGCUAAGAGAUAGGCCUGCGUUCCAUUAGCUAGUUGGUAAGGUAAUGGCUUACCAAGGCAACGAUGGAUAGGGGGACUGAGAGGUUGACCCCCCACAUUGACACUGAGAUACGGGUCAAACUCCUACGGGAGGCAGCAGUGAGGAAUAUUGGUCAAUGGGCGAGAGCCUGAACCAGCCAAGUCGCGUGAAGGAAGACUGCCCGCAAGGGUUGUAAACUUCUUUUGUAUGGGAUUAAAGUCGUCUACGUGUAGACGUUUGCAGUUACCAUACGAAUAAGCAUCGGCUAACUCCGUGCCAGCAGCCGCGGUAAAAGGGCGAAUUCG
rnacentral:rRNA from 1 species